rnacentral:misc_RNA from 1 species
GUUAUUACUGAAACCAAACUGCGCAAAAUCUUUGACAAACUCCGAGAUAGCUACGCUUCUGGCUGGGGCUUCUCCAAAAACUGCUUCUUAAUCCAAUCAAAAGGCUGGAUGAGCCAGAGGGCGGCGGUGCCGGCGGCGAUGCCCCAUGUGGCGGCGGCGGCGAUGUCCGUCGACUGAGGGAUCUUGCGGGGGCGCAGGAACUUCGACGCCACGGAUUCGAUUGCCAUUUUCAACCUCG